GACCAGAGUUCAUUUUCAAAUCCAGCCUAGGACACUUACUAGCUGUAUGACCCUGGGCAAAUCACUUGACCUGUUUGCCUCAGUUUCCUCAUUUGUAAAAUGGGGAUAAUAGUACCUACCUCCCAAAGUUGUGAGGAUCAGCU
rnacentral:snoRNA from 1 species